GAUGACCGCUGGCGGCGUGCCUAAUACAUGCAAGUCGAGCGAACGGACGAGAAGCUUGCUUCUCUGAUGUUAGCGGCGGACGGGUGAGUAACACGUGGAUAACCUACCUAUAAGACUGGGAUAACUUCGGGAAACCGGAGCUAAUCCCGGAUAAUAUUUUGAACCUCAUGGUUCAAAAGUGAAAGACGGUCUUGCUGUCACUUAUAGAUGGAUCCGCGCUGCAUUAGCUAGUUGGUAAGGUAACGGCUUACCAAGGCAACGAUGCAUAGCCGACCUGAGAGGGUGAUCGGCCACACUGGAACUGAGACACGGUCCAGACUCCUACGGGAGGCAGCAGUAGGGAAUCUUCCGCAAUGGGCGAAAGCCUGACGGAGCAACGCCGCGUGAGUGAUGAAGGUCUUCGGAUCGUAAAACUCUGUUAUUAGGGAAGAACAUAUGUGUAAGUAACUGUGCACAUCUUGACGGUACCUAAUCAGAAAGCCACGGCUAACUACGUG
rnacentral:rRNA from 1 species